rnacentral:rRNA from 1 species
UACAGAGGUCUCAAGCGUUGUUCGGAUUCAUUGGGCGUAAAGGGUGCGUAGGCGGCGCGGUAAGUCGGGUGUGAAAUCUCGGGGCUUAACUCCGAAACUGCAUUCGAUACUACCGUGCUUGAGGACUGGAGAGGAGACUGGAAUUUACGGUGUAGCGGUGAAAUGCGUAGAUAUCGUAAGGAAGACCAGUGGCGAAGGCGGGGCUCUGGACAGUUCCUGACGCUGAGGCACGAAGGUCAGGGGAGCAAACGGG